CCUACGGGAUGCACCAGUGGGGAAUAUUGCACAAUGGGCGCAAGCCUGAUGCAGCCAUGCCGCGUGUAUGAAGAAGGCCUUCGGGUUGUAAAGUACUUUCAGCGAGGAGGAAGGCAUUAAGGUUAAUAACCUUGGUGAUAGACGUUACUCGCAGAAGAAGCACCGGCUAACUCCGUGCCAGCAGCCGCGGUAAUACGGAGGGUGCAAGCGUUAAUCGGAAUUACUGGGCGUAAAGCGCACGCAGGCGGUCUGUCAAGUCGGAUGUGAAAUCCCCGGGCUCAACCUGGGAACUGCAUACGAAACUGGCAGGCUAGAGUCUUGUAGAGGGGGGUAGAAUCCCAGGUGUAGCGGUGAAAUGCGUAGAGAUCUGGAGAAAUACCGGUGGCGAAGGCGGCCCCCUGGACAAAGACUGACGCUCAGGUGCGAAAGCGUGGGGAGCAAACAGGAUUAGAUACCCGCGUAGUC
rnacentral:rRNA from 1 species